GAUGAAGAACGUAGCGAAAUGCGAUAAGUAAUGCGAAUUGCAGAAUCCGUGAGUCAUCGAAUCUUUGAACGCACAUUGCGCCCCCUGGCAUUCCGGGGGGCAUGCCUGUCCGAGCGUCAUUUCUGCCCUCAAGCACGGCUUGUGUGUUGGGUGUGGUCCCCCCGGGGACCUGCCCGAAAGGCAGCGGCGACGUCCGUCUGGUCCUCGAGCGUAUGGGGCUCUGUCACUCGCUCGGGAAGGACCUGCGGGGGUUGGUCACCACCAUGUUUUACCACGGUUGACCUCGGAUCAGGUAGGAGUUACCCGCUGAACUUAAGCAUAUCAAUAAGCGGAGGA
rnacentral:misc_RNA from 1 species